AAGCCCCAAAUCCCCCCUCCCCCAACCCCCCAACAAUAUUGAAAUUUUGGUUCCACCAAGAUUUGAACCUUGGUCUUCCAUGUGGGAGAUAAGAAGUCAUACCAUUGUUUGAAAAUUCUAUAUUACCUAUUCGGACACAUAGUAAAACAGGGAAGAGUAAAAUUGUGUCAUUAUAGUUAAUCUAAAUCUCUAUAUAUUCUCUUUAACCUUCAUAAUUGUUAAAAUAUGCCUUGAAUUAUCUGGCACUAGGAUUAACCAAGCACAUGGAUAUUUCGAUAUAUGCAAUAACUAGACUAUUUUUAUUUUAGUUUUGGAUUUAUGCCCAUUCAGUUUAAAUUAAUUAGAAGGGUAUCAUAUAAACUUUGUAAAUCAUGGUAUCAUUCACAAGCACUCCAUGUUCCUAACAUAGACUUAAACAGAUUAGGAACAAGUCAUUGAUGUCUUCUAAUAUGUCCCUUAUUGUCUUAUGUGUCACUUGUAAAUAUGAGACUAAGAGUGAAAAGAAAAAUUUGGUUCCUAAUGAGAUACUCCUUCUGUUUCAUUUUAAUCUACACACUUAUCUUUUCACGCAUGUCAAUGUAAAACUUUGAGGACAUAUAUCUUAAGUUUUGUAUUUGUAAAAAUUACAAAAAGUACAUAUUAAUAAAAUACAUGUUAUGAUGAAUCUAACAAGAUCCCACAUGACUACAUUUUCAUCUGCGUAUAAAUUACAAAUGAUGGUUAAAAUGAAACGGAGGAGUAUAUGUUAGUGGCAGUUUCAAUUGUUCCUAAAAACUCAGAAAAAUCAUAACAUAUAUGUGACAAUGUUUGAUCUAGGGUUAUUAGAUGUUAUCAUUGAGUCGUGAUACGCCCAUACCCGGUAUGGGGAGGUAGUUGCCCAUACCGGGGGUAAAAGCGUAAUUUCAUGCACAAAAUUGAAAUGGGUAAAAAUUGCAAACCAGAAACCCGAAAUUUGUUUGUUAAAAAAACCUUACUCUCCAUCUCUCCUCCUCCUUUCUCCCUCAUUCUCCCUUAAUUCUCUAUCAAAUCCAUGCAUCCUCGUUCUCCCUUAAUUAUCUAUCAAAUUCUCCCUCAUUCUCCUUUAAUUCUCGUAAUUAUUGCGUUUUCGGUGAAUUUGGUGAAUUGGCGUCCAUUUGGUGGAAGUUUUAGAAGGGUUUGGGUUGAAAUUCUGCUGUUGAAAUUGUAAAACAAAUUAAAAAUAAUUAUGAAUAUUGCAGAAAUUAGGGUAAUGUUGAUGUUUGCAGAUAGGUUAAAUUAUUAGAUAGUUAUGUGUUUAAAUCGUCGAGUAAUUGAGUCUUCAUUUUCAUCUUUGGUGUUUGAGGAAGUUAUGGGAUAUGUUGGAGAUGAAUUUUAUAUUAUUAUACAAUGAAAAAUGAUUUUUUGCAUUCAGAAUCAAAAUGUAGGCAAAAGUAAUUCAUGGGUAUUUCUGAGUUUUUCUUGAAACCGAUUCAUUCAUUGAUUUUUUUGAUUUGAUGAGAAGUUUUUCUUUCUAAUUUUUGGUUUAAAAAGAUGGGUGAUGAGUUUUUGUUGGAGAUUGUGAUAAAAAAGAAAAAAUGUCUGAAUUGGUAGCACGCAGUGGUCGUCAUCAGCAACGUUAUGAAGAUGGUUGUCGCCUUGUUGUUGGGUACAUGAAGAAGAGCAAAGUCAAUUACAUGAAGAACAAUUACGAUUGCAGGAAUGACAAGUUUUUGGUACUGGAUCUCACUUGCAAGUGCAACUUGGUUUUGGAAUUAAUUAUGCAACUGCCAGUGAACUUUUCUUUUGGUGAAUGGAUUUUAGGUUGGAAGUUAAUAUUUUUUGGUGAUCAAAGUUCUUUUGGUACAAUGAAGUACUCGUUUUUGUAAAUUGUCAAUGAUCAGACAAUAUUGAAUAUAUCUUUGCGUAUUUUAUGUUAUGAUAUGAUUCAUCAAACA